ACACAGAAACUCCCAACACCUGUGCUGUGAGAUUCUCAACCACAGUUCUCAACCAUUUGCUGUAAUGUCCUUUUACUGCCAGUAGAUGGAAGCAUCAUCUUGCAUAAUUGUAAGAAACCUCCUGUGAAUGUUGCUGCUGUUAAGUUUACGUGUGAAGGAGUGUAAGGACUGGAAGGUGGGCUCCACCAACAAGAAAGAGAUGAACGCAUCAGAGGUUUUACGGAGCAGCAGUCUCACCCCCCUCCCCACUAGUGAAUCAAGGGCCCUUCGAUCACCCAUGAGAGAGCUGGCAGACCAUGAGUCCCCUAAGGAAAGUUAUCAGGUAAUU